rnacentral:lncRNA from 1 species
UGGGGUUUGGGGAGGGGUGCGAGCUGGGAAAGUUAUAUUUUAGACAUUCGACGCUGCAACUUGCUCCAAAUCUUCUCAAAUUUUAGCCAUAGCUUCCACAUGCGAUAACACGACGCGUCGUCAAGUUUCACGAUUUUCGGACUUUGUUUGGAUUUUAUAUAAUUUUAAUACACUUUUCGUGCAUGUAACUCGAUGUGUUACCUCAGCGAGGUGGUCGAUAUUUCGUGUGAGGUCCUAGAUACGGACUCAGAAUAUACAUAAUACCAUGAAUAUCAUUUUUUGAAACACUGCAUUGCGAUAUUUUAUGUACGUGUAGUUCAAAUUUGAAUUAUCCGGAAAAACACAAAGAAACAAAUUAAAUCAGUCAAAUAUAGCAGAAAAAAGUCAAACUUCUCUCAAACUUUAAGAUAGGGUUUGAAACAGUGUCAAAAAGCUUCAAAAAAAACUCAGAUCGAAAAAACAAAAAAAUAAAAAACCUUUGCCGAGAGCCAGAUAGGACACUCGGCAAAGAAGGAUUUGCCGAGGGCCCUUCAAGCUAGCGCUCGGCAAAGAACCAUCCUUUGCCGAGUGCCUGACAUUUGGCCCUCGGCAAAGGGGACGGCAGCUGCUGCCGUUAGACGUCCAGGGACUUUGCCGAGCGCACUACUCUCAGCAAAGGAGGCCUUUGCCGACAGCCAGCUUUUGGCCCUCGGCAAAGAGGCCUUUGCCGAGCGUCGUACCUGGCCUCGGCAAAGGUCCGUCUUUGCCGAGCGCCUUUUCCACGGCUCUCGGCAAAGAUUUCGGCUCUCGGCAAAGUAGGAUUUUCGUGUAGUGGCACGAGAUGGCAAUAUAAUCACCAUACGCGGCUAAUGGCUGAAGGAACAAAUGACACAAUAUCUUUCGCCAUUGUUGCAACGUCGUGGCCAAAGCGUACUAUCGAAACAGAUUGUUGCGACCCACCAUGUGGUGGA